ensembl:lncRNA
GUUGAGGUCCGUCCCGUAGCCUAGACGUAGUGUGUGGUUGAGGUCCGUCCCGUAUCCGUAGCCUAGACGUAGUGUGUGGUUGAGGUCCGUCCCGUAUCCGUAGCCUAGACGUAGUGUGUGGUUGAGGUCCGUCCCGUAUCCAUAUCCUAGACGUAGUGUGUGGUUGAGGUCCGUCCCGUAGCCUAGACGUAGUGUGUGGUUGAGGUCUGUCCCGUAGCCUAGACGUAGUGUGUGGUUGAGGUCCGUCCCGUAUCCGUAUCCUAGACGUAGUGUGUGGUUGAGGUCCGUCCCGUAUCCGUAUCCUAGAUGUAGUGUGUGGUUUCGAUUUGGUUUGGGUAGGUCUCACACACCUCAUGAGCCAUCAGACUCACUAAUAAUACUGCACACAUAUGAGGCUUUAUUGUUGCUAUCAUAUCUCUCUGACCUGAGUAGUAUAUUUGACUAAUGUUGUAUCUCUCUACCCUAUGUGAGUCUGAAGUAUAUUGUUUAGACC